GGCCCCCAGGAGGAUUACCUGCUGCUUUUACAGCUCUUUGUAGGUCCUCUAACUGCAGCCAUUCAACAAGGGGCUGUUGAGCUCCUGCUGGGCGCCGGGCACCGUGCCCGCACUCAGGAUGGAAGAAGAGAGAGCAGAGAUAGAACUAGAAGCUGUAGGAGAAAUGCCCUGAACCAGACGAGCCCCAAAGGGAGCGGACGGGAUGCUGAGGCUGAAAACAUCAGACUCAUCCAAAGCCAGACGGAGAUGCCGAGGUUGGAGGGAGACGGCGGGACCCCAGCCCGGGCCUCCGUCUCUGCCAAUGCCAGGAGCCCUUGAUUGACAGCAGUUCCCAUUUUGCCUCGUGAUACCCUACCUAUCCGGUUGCCCAAGCUGAGAGGCAGGACACAUCACACAGAGUUUGAGCUGCUUUAACAAACACCACGGCCUGAGGGGCUUAAACAACAGAGAUUUAUUUUCACCAUUUUGGAGGCUGGAAGUCUGAGAUUGGGGUGCUGGCAUGGGCAGGUGGCCCAAACACAUACAGACUACCCUGUGAUAGUACCUUCCUGAUAGCGGAAUAGUGGAGGAGGAUGCAGUGGCCACACCUGUGGCUAAAUCCCAUGGGCUCGAGAUGAUGACACUUGGUGACAGCCAUUCAACUCCAUUAUCCUCAUAAUUAUCACUUUCUGCAGCUCUCCCGUGUCUGAGAUACUGUAGCUCUUAGUACCUUCCUUCCCUUCUGUGGUGUCUGUGCCAGUGCACCAGUGGGAAAAGUGUUGACAGUGCCACCAUGACGACCUGCCAAGGGCUUCCAGAAUCCCACCUGCCAUCGGUGCCAGGGCCUCAUUGCUGGCUGUUCCCAUUUAGUGGAUGGAGGCUGUGCGCCCCAGUGCUGAGUUCUCAUAUCUAAAUUGCUAUUUAUAGACAAUCUGUGAUGGCCUGGCGCCUUGGGAGUGUAAGGAAGAUGUUGCAUGUCUACAGCCUUUGUUUUAAUGAAGAGUCCAGGAUGCACGUGCAUUCCCACUGCAUUGAUUUGAAAAUACCUGUGUUUGCACAGAGGUGAGGACAGACACCUGCCAGUUCCAAGGGUGGCCAUCCUGAUGGGAGCAGGCAGAUAUAGUGGGGACCUACAAACUACCACCCAGAAGAGAGAAGCACCUUAGGCCAGGAGUGGACUUGUUUUGAAAAAACAGAAGUGGCUACAGUCUUAGGUAAAUGAAGAAAGAGAAAGACAAGAUUUGAAGAAUCUGGUAAAUAACUAGUUAGCCUUUGUGUUUCCUCAGACUUUAUACUUUUACAAGAUUUAAAAAAAAAUGUAUAAUCAAGGCUUUAAUUCUCACCAUCAAAUUAAUACAUAAAACCACACUAUUCUCUUGGGAAGGACCUUGGAAUAAUUUCUUGAGGCAUGACACGUGACAUGCUACCAACCCCUCUUCUGGUUCUGCCCCCUCCCAUCCCACAUACCAUUUCUUUCCUGUCCUCCUUUCUUCCACCCAUCUUUCCUUCCUUUCAUACCUGUCUAUUUAUUGAGCGCCUAGCCUGUGCCACACACCAAUCUAGUCCUGGGUCUGUUGUGUCUUUCCCUGGGUCUCGGUGAUCUGGUCCCAGGAUCACCCAACUAGAAGGGUCUGUUGUGUCUUUCCUGGGGCCUCAUCAGCAUGGGAAUGACCUCCAGACAGAUUCCCUCUCGGAUGCAUCUAGGUCCCUCUACACGGAGUUCCUCAGUGGUAUAAUGAAGGGGAUGAUACUUUCCAUUAAUGGAAGGGGUCUUAAUCAUUAUUUAUAAAGGGUGUUGAAUGUGCAAAGCAUAAAUGCACCAACUGCGAAUUUAGACUGGACCCCAUUUUAUUGAGUUUCGGCAAUUUCUAGCAUGGUCUUCAGGCAGGGCAUCAUAGGUUUGAAAUAUUACCGACCACCUAUAUUUUGUAAUAUAAAAAAAUCUCAUUAAGGGAAACCCAUCCUUUAGAGUUAUCCUUUCCCCAAGAACUCCCAUGCAAGCAUGCAGGCAUGGUAGCUUUUCUUUCCCCUCAAUGCAAGGGCCAAAGCAUACAGCAAUUAAUCUUUUGUUUACUUGAAACUUUCCCAUUCACAAGGUUUCAUUUUCACAUCCAAACUCCCUGCUCUUUUGUGCAGGGAAUAAUGGUACUGUAUUUCUAAUUACGAGGCCUCACUGCAACUUCUAAAUACCGCUUUUCUUCCCUCUUCCUCUUCUUCUAAGAAGUGCCCAUGAGAAGCAGAAUUUGUAUUUUCCCUGGUUUGCAAGUACCAUCCUGUGGGGCGUUCUCGUUUGGUCCUAUGCUCCCCCUUCUCUGUGUGUGGACUACAGCAUAAAUAAGGCCCGCUCAAGAGUCCCACCGGCGAGGGGCUGCUUUUUUUGUAAUCAACCCUUUCAAGCCAGGUUUUUUAUAUAAUAAAAAUAAGUUAUAAAAACCAUCCCCUGGGAGCAGCUGUCAGGCCACACAGUUGGUAAUUUCAAGGGGUGGGAGCUGCAGUCCUCAUUCUGCUUCACUUUCCCAUGAUUCCGGAUGAUCUCUUUUAAGUCACAACGGCUUUCAUGAAGUUUGGUCAUUCCAGGAAAUGGACGGUCUCUCGCGCACAUUCUGGGGAAGGUAAGGAAACAAAGCAGGUAUGCGGUUGCCGCCGCAAGUGUUUGACCCAGGGAAGGAAGGGAUGGUAGUGUCCUCGACUUGGACCUGUCUGGGCUUGGCUCUGUUUUGUUCUGGAGGAACGGAAGAAUGAGUGAUUGAAAGGACGGAUGAGUGAUAGCAGGUGUGCAAUCAGUGGUCGGAUUUGCUCUGCUGCUAGAGCUGCAGGGUGUGCAAAGGCUCUUCCUCCCUCUGCUUCUGCUUCCCCCAUUUGGUUAGAAUUUCAUUCGUAUUUAGAUGUCCCGCCCUCCCUCCCUCCCUUCCUCUUUCUCUUCUCCAUCUUCUUUUACGGAUCAGGAUCUCAGGAUGUGUGAGCCAUCAGCUCACAUCUAUCAAACCACUAGCUUUACGGCUCUCUCAAGCAUUCUUCUGUCUCCUCGACUAUGUCUUGCCCUUAUAUAAUAUCCCCAAGCAGAGCCGAUUUGUUCCUGAGGUAUGGUGGGGACAGUGCCUGAGGCCCGAGAUACUUUCAGGGGCUUAUGAAGUAUUUUAAUUUUAAUUAGAACUGAAAGGGAAUUUUUACAUGGAAGAAAAUGUCUUAAUAAUAUUAACAUAGUCCUCUUUUUAUCGCCAUGGAGGAAUAUAUAAUUUUAUAUACUGUAUUAUGGAAGAAAGGACCCAUGGAGGCAAACAUGCCUGGAGCCCAUGAGGGUCAUACCGAGACUCUGUCCCAAAGGCUUCGUAUCUUCUGAUAGAGCCUGUGGUUCUCGGUCUUGGCUGCAUAUAUGGCCACACAGACUGCACGCCGUUCUUAGGGAUUCGGAAUUAAUAGGUCGGGGAGGGGCCUCAGGCACGGGUGAUUUGCAAGUCCCUCCGGUUAUCUGGAUAUGCAGUCAGGACUGAAAACCACUGUUUGGGUAUUAGAUGCUUUCAAACUCUCCUGUAUACAGCAGGCACCUGGGUGUCUCCAUAACUGGAGAUUUGGACUCAGAACCCGGGGGGUGAGGCCAAGACCCUGCAUUUCUGACAAGCUCCCAGGUGGUGGUGCUGCUGCUGGCUCAUGCCCCCCCCCCCAGUUCCCCACCUCCUGGUUCCCACUCCUCCCCACGCCCCCGGAGCAGGGGGCUAGGCUAGGUGGGUUCUGCUUUGAGGGUACAUGCCACUCUCUGCCUGGACUUCCAGCACCGUAAUGAUGAUAGGAGCCGCUGUCUAUCGAGCACCUGCUGUGUUCUCCGUGCUGCUUGUAACAUCCUACUUGCCUUCCGAGCAGGUGGUCUUAUCCCUCUUUUCCAGGUGAAUAAGUGGAGGUUUGGAGAAGCGCAGAUCGGAGCCCAGGGUGCCACAGAGAGAACUGGUGGUGCUGGGAUUCGAGUCUGGUCUGACUGAGCCUUUGGCCCCCGCUCACGGCCCGCGCUCCGGAGACUCGGCUCUCCCACCCGAGGCCCCGGGUGAGCUUUGGUGGAACUGUCCACGCGGUGCUCUGUGACGGCGUCUGAGCUUUCUCUCGGCUGCACCUCAUUGUUCGUGUGUCAAGUGGCUCUUUUCCUCUCUCACGAGCCUGCAUCCCUUCGAGCAGGGCUGCGAGUGCGAACACCACCGUCUCCCCGGGGCGGGUGGGGGGGGGACCACAGGUUAUCAGGAAAUGCAGCAGGUGACACAGGCAAAGAGUAGUGUCUUCUAAGGGGACGACCCUUUAUCAGAGGAAAAGCACGGACCGCUGUGCACAUGUGCGGGGCUCCGAGGCCAGUGAACGCCGAUCUAGUGACCAUGUCUCGCGUCUCCAGGGCCCACUGUCUCAUCACACGGUCCGCUUCUCAGUCUGUGUGCUGAGCAGUGCUGCUCAGUUUUGGUUCAAAGUUUUGGCCUCUGACCACCAGCAUCGAGCCGCCUGUGUGGUGCCUUUGCUGACGGCCUUCUUAUCCUCCUGGGAUGCUUCUGUCUCUUCCUGGCUAUCGAAAUGUUCUCGCUCUUCCCAGGUCCGCUCAGAUCAGGCUUCUUCCAGGGAGCCCUCCCAGCUCCUGACUUGGUGCCUUUCCAUCAUGGCACUGAUGGCAAUGGGCCACAUGUGCCCCAUAGAUUUCGUGCUUAAUGUUCCACCCUCCCGGGGGUUCGCUCUGAAUCCCCUCCCUACCCCACAGCCCCUGAACAGGUGUCGGCGACACCAGCCCUCAGUGCAUCUUUGGAAUUCGGCUGCAUUUGCGGGUGUCCCUUCUGCAUCGUGGAUGGAUCAGGGAGCUGGUGAACAGUCACCGUGGGCACAGGGACUACGGCCAUUGUGUCCCUUAGCUGAGUUCCAGGAAACUGUGCAGCACUGUCGUGGUGAGGAAGACCCAGGGAGAAGCUUGAACAGAGACAGAGCCUGCAUGACUGUGUGUGUCUGUGCAUGUGAGUGUGUGAGUGUGUGUGUGUGUGUGUGUGUUUAUCCAUAUCCCAGAGCCCACGUUACCUACACCUAGAGGUAAGGAUGGCAGUGGGACAUUCGUCUUACCCAGGUGGAUGUCCCACCCCAGGUCCCCCUUAUCCAUCCCCAUUUUGUCUUUUCCUUCCUCUGAAGGGAUUCAUGGUGCAGGAGCAGCAGGAGAAACUUUUCUUUCUGAAAACAUUGUCGAAAAUGUUGCCAGAAGUGAUCUCCCGCAUGAUCUCCCGUGGGGCCAAACUUUGAUGUGGCUACCUCCCUCACAUCCCCAGGCAUUGCCAGAGGUAGGCGCUUCUGGGCAUCUCUCAUUCCCAAGGGCUGCGAUUACAUCUCUGAAAAUUCAUGACCACCCCCCCCAGGGUGGGUUUUUUUUUUUUUUUUAAACUUGUAGAAAUAAAUCAAUUAUUUAAGGCAGUGACUUUGAUCACUAUGAGCUGCUGUUUGGUAGAAAACCUCGUUGUUCUCCAGGAGCUCCCUCCCUGCCCAGCAUGUGGGGCAGCCCUUCCUUCAGAGGCCCGACUGUCCCCAGGGCAUCAGGGGCAUGCCACAGCCUUGGCCUCAGUGGCCAGGCACCCCCCGCAUGGCAUUUGCACUGGCUACCCCAUCGCGGCUGAGCAGACACGGAGCGUGGCCGUGGUGCCCGUGAUCUUCACCCCCUUCCAAGGUGGAGCUGCUCCCUGCCCUUAGCGGGGAUCCAUACCGUGUUUUCUGAAGCAACCCUUGCACUGGUUGGGUGAUAAAAAUUUGGGGUCACUUGGGAUAGGUAUGAAUUAGUGUUUAUAUCAUAUUAAUGGGAUGUUAAUUGCUCUUGCAACCUUUUUAAUGCAAAUCAAUCUAGCGCUGUUUGCAACGUCCUGUACCCAGUGUAAUACCUUCUAGCCUUUCUAUUAUUGUCAAAGCAAUUAGUGGUGCACUGGUCAUGAAUAAGGUGCUCCAGUCUGCUCACCACUACACAUCAGGUGUCUUUUGAGGGGAAAGAGAUUGUUCCGACAUUGUUAGGGUCACUUGAAAGUUAUAGUCUCACCCAAACACAGGGACGUCUGACAGGAGCCGCAGUGACAUCUGCGUGUGGAAUUUGCCUGGAUGGGACCAGGCUGCAGGGGUAUGGACCCUAAGGCUGUCUAAGACCCCCACCCUUGUUUGUGUCUUCUCUGCUUUCUUUGUGGAUGACCGGUGUGAGUGAGAGGGGCUGAACUGGGGCCUGAAGCAGAAGGAAGACUGUGCCCCUCAUUUGUACUUAGCAACAUGUCCUCCAGUACUCAAACCACAGAGAAAAUGGAGUAGAGGCUUCUCAAUAAAAAACUCCUUCCUUUCUGGGGCACCACCAGCUCCAGUCCUCCAGGGUCCGUCCAGACUCUCCAGCUGAUAAUCAUGAGACGAAGCCACUCUAGUGCUUGGGACGGUCAUCCCUGUGAUGUGAUGAAGCCUGUGUCCCUGGUGUUCUCUACCCUUCAGCGGAGUCAUCCUACCAGGCCCCAAGCUCCUGAGGCCGGAAGAGCCCUUCGGAGUCCUCCCCAUGUUUCAGCGGCACUUGCCCAGACAUGUCCAUCCAAACUGCAGCCUUUGCUUGGGCUCCAGCUGGGCCUCCUGCUUCUUGAAAGGCAUCAUGAAACUCUUGAUUGGGAAAAAAUAUGGCUUCUGCAAAGUCAAUCCCUGAGCAGAGAGACUUCUUGACACCAUUGCUAAAUGCCAAAAUAUGGCCUUAUUUGGAGAUGUUCUUAAAAACCUCCCCUUUGGAUUUAGAGUUUGUUGAUGAAAGGAUAUACGAUACUUAUGUCAAAUGGGAGGACAAGGGUGUUGCAGAGACAGGAAGAAGAAGUCAUGAACUGUGAUGUUCAGCAAAGACGCCUUCCAGAUAAAGCGAGUGUGUUGGAGUGAGGGGCAUCGUACUUUGUUUUCCACAGGCCAAAGUCUCAGGAUGCAGAGGGCAAGGUUGGGAUCUUCAGACCGCUCAUUCAGUCCUCCUUCCUCUUGGACUCUAUGCCAUUGCCAGGCCCUGGGGCCCCUCUGGCCUCCCUUGUCCUUCCUUCCAGCUGGGUCCUGCCCAUCACCACCUGUUGACAUCUGAGCCAAUUACUAAUGUCAAUAGCAGGGGAACACAGCUGAUGUAAAUUCAGUUUUCCAAAGAUUCUGUGAGUCUUAACUCAAAGGAAUGAAUAGGAAUUUAGGUACCAGAAUAGACUUGUUGGGUUGGGAGGCUGAUGAGCAUUGGUGAGUCGUGGAAGCAUGACAUUUUUUUUUUAUCAGGCAGUAAGAAGCAUAACCCUCUUCCAAAAUUCUUAUUAUAUAUAAGGGUGGCAUAUGUUUAUCUAGAAUAGCUCCUGAUGAAUCUGCUUUUUUAAAAAGCUUUAGACAAAAACAGUCUUCUGUAGGUUGUGGCAACUGUGGGGAUGCUAAUUUUAUAAUGAGCCAUAAAUUGAUUGACAGGAAGCAAAACAAUAAUGGGGUAGAAGACAAUUGGCUCAGAGACAGAAGCAGGCAACUCACAGGAGGUGAUUUGGUUGGCAGAGGAGGCCGAGGACACUUUAGUCAUGACUCCAUAAGCCAAGCAUGGGAAGGAAUUCUGGCCAGAGGUCCCAUGGCUCAGUCAAGAGCUCAAGUUGGGGCUUGGAAGAGCAGAAGGCCCUGGCAGUUGACUUGGCUGCACUCUCCAGGGGAGAACUUUGUUGCCUCAUUGAAGGGCUGUCUGGGGCUGAGGGAUGGGGAAGGGGGUACUCACCGAGCCAAGGCAGCAACACCUCUAGCUCAGCCACAGAGAACCACGGUGCCCUGACUUCCAAAGAGCUCCAAAGAGAAACCCACCUGGACUAGGAGAUGGGCUUCUAGAAGAAGAGCCUGGUUUGGGUUUUCCAAUUUCAUCUGUUUUCCUGUAGUUUGCCUGCCCCUGAAUAACCUGUGAAUGAAACUCGAUGCCCAGACUCUAGCAAUUGCACCGUUGGGGUUGGGGUCCUUUGGCUCUGCUGUUUCCAAAUGUGGCCUAAUGUGUGCUCAUGGUACUCACCCUGGAGUGUCUGCUGAUUGAAUGGAAGCACUUGUGGGUGGACUGAAUGGAACAGAGCACUGCGGUCUGGAAGAGGAGAAGCCCGUAUUCCCUUGCUGGUGGUGCUGGAGGGACUGGCCUCUGGAUUGGGAAAUUUUGUGCUCCAGGAGACUUUCUUCCCCUGUAGAUUCAGUGCGCUCUUAUGAAAAACAGGUGAGAGACAAGACAUGUCCGUUUUGGGGCCAGACAUCUGCCUCUGGGGCUGCUACCCCCAACCACAACAAUAACAACAGAAGAAGGAUGAUAUGGGCACAUUUUCUUGGGGUUUUUCAUGAAUGGUUUUGGUUGGGCACGUGAUGGCACAUUCCAAGUGUGAUCUUGAAUAAACUUGAAUUUUCACUUGA